CCUACGGGAGGCUGCAGUCGAGAAUAUUCCACAAUGGACGAAAGUCUGAUGGAGCGACGCCGCGUGCAGGAUGAAGGCCCUUGGGUUGUAAACUGCUUUUGUAAGGGAAGAAUUUCGAUGACGGUACCUUACGAAUAAGAGGUUACUAACUCUGUGCCAGCAGUAGCGGUAAUACAGAGACCUCAAGCGUUAUCCGGAUUUAUUGGGCGUAAAGAGCUGGUAGGUUGUUAUAUUAGUCAGAUGUCAAAUCUUCGAGCUCAACUCGAAAACUGCAUUUGAAACGGUAUAACUAGAGGGUGUGAGAGAUCUAUGGAACUCAUGGUGUAGCAGUGAAAUGCGUUGAUAUCAUGAGGAACACCAAAGGCGAAGGCAUUAGAUUGGCACACUCCUGACACUGAGCAGCGAAAGCGUGGGUAGCGAAUGGGAUUAGAUACCCCGGUAGUC
rnacentral:rRNA from 1 species